rnacentral:rRNA from 1 species
UCCUACGGGGGGCAGCAGUAGGGAAUUUUCGUCAAUGGGCGCAAGCCUGAACGAGCAAUGCCGCGUGAACGAGGAAGGUCUUCGGAUCGUAAAGUUCUGUUGAAGGGGAAAAAGAGCGGAGAGAGGAAAUGGUCUCCGAUUGAUAUUACCCUUCGAGGAAGUCACGGCUAACUACGUGCCAGCAGCCGCGGUAAUACGUAGGUGGCGAGCGUUAUCCGGAAUGAUUGGGCGUAAAGGGUGCGUAGGCGGCCUGCUAAGUCUGGAGUGGAAGGUACCGGCUCAACCGGUACAGGCUCUGGAAACUG